GUCUUUACCUAACAAUAUAAAGCACCGUGUCAUGAAUGGGUGCUGUAUAAAUAAAAUAUAAUUAAACUGAAUCGUAUUCUUUUAUCUUAAUAAAAGUAUUUAAAAGAUUAUCCUACACAAGAGCCAAUUCAAGAACUACAGUAUGCCAUUACAACAUGUGUUGGCUGCUAUUAUGAAUAAAACUAUUCAGUUUUAUCGAUAUAAAGUAAAGAAUGUAAAGUACAAGUAUAAUGUAACUCUUUAUAUAACCGUAUCUUAUUCACAUGAGGAUAUUUUCUUGCUCAUCUGCUAAUACCAAAACUAUGUCAAGGCAUGUCUCAGAGAGUUUCACCAUAUCACAAUCAUGUCAAAUUUCAGAUUCCAUGUUGAGAAAUUAAGAUGUAAAAAGAAGUACAAAAACCAAAUAAAAAUGGAUUAUUAAAAAAGUGGUGGUUACAUACAGCAACAAUAAGUUGCUGAGUGCACAAAUCAGAGCCCAGACUGCAGUGUGGAUUUGUGGGAGACCUUGAAAAUGACAGUUACGCACUGAAAAGGAAUAAUAAUUUGUUUUCCUUUAGUCGUUGACUCUUUUACUGUUAAUUUAAGGAUUUUUCCAUGUGCUGUGAAGAUGUUCCAAUUCUAUCAUGUAGCGUAGUCUGAUAAGCCUCCUCCGUCAAUCUUUUAGCCAGUGUUAAAGUAGCCCAGAUACUCAAAACAUUUCUCUGAACAAGUCACACAAGGCCAUUUAGAAGACGUGUAAGUGACUCAGAGUAAUUGCCGGAGAUGAGCAUCAGCCCUCAUCCUUCACUCACACAGCUGUGCGUAAAAGCGCGCAAACGUUGCGUAAAUGGACCUCGCCACAAGAACCGUGGAUGUUGUCUCUUCAUCUGAAACUCAGCAGUGAGGUGUGAUCCAACUGCACACAGAUAUUUAUUAUCUGUGUUCCUGGCUAAAGCAUUGUGGAGAAAUUUAGAUGAAAGUACACACAGUCUGCAGUGAUGGAAACGCUUAAACUUGUUUUCAUUUUUGUGCUGCUUCUGUCAAACGUUUUCUGUCAAGAUAUGGAUGCUGACAUCUGGAGCGAAGACAUCGAGGAGGAAAAAUGGCCAAACUAUAAAGAAAUUCAAGACAUUUUAGUGAGAAUGACCAGAAAACCAGGAUCUCGCCAACAUCUUGGAUUUAUGGGGAAAAAGGAGUCUGGAAAAACACGGACGGCACGUAAACGGCACAAAUUUCAAACCUUUGUGGGUCUGAUGGGGAAGAGAAGCUCUUGGGAUUAAGGAGCUCUGUGACCCGGCGUCGAUUCAAGGCUGAAGAUCGCGGAGAAAAACUACAUUUAUUUCCAUCCGUGUGAUUUGUCUCCAUUAAACUUUUAUAGUCUGUACAUAUUAUUUAAUGUAUAAAAUAUCACAUUUAGUGCUAUUGAAAAUCGUCCUAACACUUAAAGGGCACAGAGCGACACCUAGUGGUAAAACAGUGAUUGAAACGCCUGACAUUUUUUUAAAGAUCCUAAAAAUUAGAAUAAAAGAACUGAGUUCAAAAGUAUACAAAAAAAAAAAAAAAAAAAAAAUCUAAAUCAUUUAAUAACUCAAAAGUUACCAGAAUUUUACAGUAAAACAAAACUGGGCGAAUUACCAGAGCACAUGUUUUUAAUUGAGGGGCUUAAAAAAAAAAAAAAAAAAUCCAUUCUUUUAUGUUUAUGUUUCAGUCACAUAACUGGUGUUCUCCCCACUUCAUAAUGAGCACGUUUUCCCAUAAUAAACCAUCUCACUCUUCAAUAUCACAGGUUUAUUAAGUGACUUUGUACAUUACAAAUGAAAAAUAAAAUUAAAAAUACAGAGAUGGAGUACAUAGCCAAAGCAAAAUGUGGUGUUGACUCUUCAUUUCCCACUGAUCGUUUCCGCAGAGUAACUGAAAUAACAUGUGGGCUGUUUUUAUUUAAUUUUUUUCAAUGUGUCCAGAAUCACUGUUAAUAUUUGGAAGUGUUUUUCUUUAACAGUGGACACGCAGCUGUCAAGUCUCUGAGGAUUUUUCUAAACAUACAAAAGAAGUUAUUACGUCAGCUGGCUCGGUAUAUAUAAAAAUAAACUAAAGUGAAAUAUAACACUUAUGACAAUAUAAAUGGUGGUCCGAGGCUAGUGAAAAUAGCUAAACACACAGGAAAAAGAAAGCGUUAUAUUUCAGACAAAAAGAAGCUUUAGCCAUCUUUUUUUUUUAAAUCUAUAAAAAGGCCCAAGGUGCAUUUUCUCGUUUUUUCUGCCGACAGUGUUUCGUUCGAGCCUGCUGCGCUCAUGGGACGAGGGUUACAGGUUUAACAGGUACACUCAAAACCAAAACAGAAAUGAUUCGUUAAUGCCUUGUCCUCUUCUUACUUUAAUACACAUUUGAAGGUCAGGUUAAAUGUUCAUAUACUUUUAUUUUUCCAAUAAACAAGUAUUACAAUGGAAACUGAUUGUACAGACAUGACUUUUUGAAGGGAUGAAACGAUUGUAAAACUGCGGGCCAACACAGAUGUUUAAAAGGGAAAUUUGGCCGCCAUUUAUAAAGAUUAAUUGGUAUAUAUUCCACGGUCUGUGAAGAAUGCCUUUCAGCAUUCAUACCACUAACAAUUUAUUCAUCAUAAAAUUAAAUCAAAAGAUAAACAUCGGCACGGCCGCAGGUAAAUGGCGCCUGCGAUAUUGGUGCAUCUCUCAUGCUUUCCAUAAAUCUACACACACCAGUCAUUUAAAAGCAACCUUGGGAAGAAAGAACGCAGCAGAUUUGGGGGUGGAGGACAGUAUUCAGUUGUAACAACAAUAAUAAUAAUAAUAACAACAUCAACAAUAAUAAUAAUAAUAAUAAUGAUGAUGAUCAUUAAAAUAAUAUGGGUUUGGCCUUACUAAAAAUGGGGUUAUUUGUUUCUGCUGUUAAAGUAAACACAUUCCUUGAGGAUGAUGAUGAAAAUAACAAUGAUGAGUCCUGAGGCAGCCAGGGGGCUCUGCAGAGGCUGUUCUGGCCUUACAUGCAGACCCCCCCUGCGCCCCCUCACACACCCACAAAUGCCCCCAGUGCACCCUCUAGCGGCUGGGAGCAGGAGCACGGCUGUGCUGGCAGACAGAGCAGGGACAGAGGAACAGGGGGAGGAGAGCGGUGAGAAGAGGGGAGGAUAGAGGAAGAUUGGGAGGAGGUGGGGUAA